GAUGAACGCUGGCGGCGUGCCUAAUACAUGCAAGUCGAGCGAAUGGAUUAAGAGCUUGCUCUUAUGAAGUUAGCGGCGGACGGGUGAGUAACACGUGGGUAACCUGCCCAUAAGACUGGGAUAACUCCGGGAAACCGGGGCUAAUACCGGAUAACAUUUUGAACCGCAUGGUUCGAAAUUGAAAGGCGGCUUCGGCUGUCACUUAUGGAUGGACCCGCGUCGCAUUAGCUAGUUGGUGAGGUAACGGCUCACCGAGGCAACGAUGCGUAGCCGACCUGAGAGGGUGAUCGGCCACACUGGGACUGAGACACGGCCCAGACUCCUACGGGAGGCAGCAGUAGGGAAUCUUCCGCAAUGGACGAAAGUCUGACGGAGCAACGCCGCGUGAGUGAUGAAGGCUUUCGGGUCGUAAAACUCUGUUGUUAGGGAAGAACAAGUGCUAGUUAAUAAGCUGACACCUUGACGGUACCUAACCAGAAAGCCACGGCUAACUACGUGCCAGCAGCCGCGGUAA
rnacentral:rRNA from 1 species